AAAGCAUGGUGAGGGCAUUUCCUAAGCAUCUCUUAAAAUCUCUCUAACUUUCAUAAAUGGAUUCUCCUUCAAACUAAAUAAAAGAAGUGAUAUUAUUUCUAAAUUU